ensembl:lncRNA
GUUAUGACAAGGCAGAAGUUGACUUUAGUGGCAUUGUGUGAGCUGCUGGAUCAAACCUGACCUGAAACAUCAUUACUACUGAACAAAUAAUUUAUAUUAUUAUUACUUUAGACAAUUUGAAUGGGGUUUUCUGUUUUUAUUUUUCAACAUAGUUUUAAUUCAUGUCCAUUGCGUGUGUGCAUGAUAAGUCACUUCAGUCGUGUCCAACUGUAGCCCUCCAGGCUCCUCUGUCCAUGUCCAUUGAGUCGGUGAUGCCAUCCAACCAUUUCUGUCUCUGGAUGAGGACUUCUCUUUGGAAGCAGCUGCUCACACUAAAAACUGAACACAAGCUGCACGAGGCCAGAAAUGACGUCCGGAAGGCGAAUGGUGACAGUGCCGUCACUUUGUGUUUGAUGUGUUUUUUAAGCUUUCCCAAAAGGGUAGGAGGUAGGUCAGAAUGUCUUGUACUCUGCUAAACAUUGUGUUGAAUUCAUCUGUGAGGUUGGAGAAAACUCACAAAACUGGCCCUUCCAGAUUGUUCCCUAACUUCUGAGAAAGUAAGACAGCCCCCAAAUACCACAAGCUGGCUGAGUGUGGGUGCUGCCUUAGCACUAAACAUUCUAUAAACUGCUGCAUGGUUUUUGCAACAAGCAUGGUACUCUUCAAAAUGAAGAUUAGUGACCCUGGCUUCUUGCUUACCUAUGCAUUAAAUAUGUAUACCCUACUUUACAAUCAUGACCACGAACAUGGAGUAAUAGUAACAGCUAGACAGGUCACUUCUUGAAGCCAACAACAGAAAAGUGUCUUUUACAAGGUAGGGUGUCAACCACAAAAGAACAACAUCAUAAAGGAGCGCUCAUAGCUAACCUGUGACAGACUGUUUCCAAAAAUAGCAGCUGAGACAACCAUCGUAACUAUGGAAAUCCCUGUGGAAAGGAGAAUGUCUUUUCUGCCCUCUCGAAGCCUGCCAGGACAGAGAGGCUGUGUCAUAGAUCAGUGCCACCCAGCACCCAGGGCCGAGGACUGAUGCUAAUUGCUGAAGCUUCACUCAUUGUUUCCCAGGCGUAUCAGUCCUUGGCAGGGCUUGGCAGGUGCCACUCUCCACUGUCUUUGAACCCUCUCUGGUUUCGCUCCGGCCAGUUCAUUAGCUGCCAGCCGGCUGUGGCCUUGCGUCCCUGCUGCAGCCACCUGACACCGCUUUGGGCUUUGUUCCCGCCUAACUGGAACUCCGUGACAAAAUCAGAUCCCAGUCAGCAUUAUCACGGGGACUGCAGAAGCAGCCUGUUCUCGGGCUUUAAAUGUUCCUCCACGUUUGGCUUUUCUGUCUCUGUUCUCAUCCUAGCCAUCUCCUCGACCUGCUCUCUCUCUAGGGUUCUGACUUCUAACCUGUCCUCUGGAGACCUACCAUAAACUGGACUCUCUGUGGGGGCUUUAACAGGCUCAGGGCCUGGUCCCCUAGCCUCAGGGACUAGGCAAAUCAUCUGAGAGAGAAAGGUGCACUUAUAACAAUUCUCUGUCCUCUAGUCUCAGAGAAGCCUUCUCCUUGUGCCUGUUUGAUAUAAGUGCCAAUUCAAGGGUAUGAUUCAGGAAAAUAAAACACUGCUUCUUGGGGGUCACAGAGAGUCUUCAGUUCAGAGUUUUUGGGAAAAGUGUAGACCAGUGUGGGUAAUGUACACAUAGCCUGUGUAUAGUGUAUAGGAGAGGGACAGAAUACCUUUCCUGAUGGUUGGUCAGAUUCAUUUUUAUGUCAUAUAUAUGCUAGCUGUGUGUUUCUUUUUGAUUUUCUUAUUUCGGGGCAGCUAGAGCCUAGCAUUAUAAAUGGAAGCUCCAGGAAACUAGGUAAAUGCAGGUGAGGGAUGGAACAGAUGUCUAAUUUCAGUGUACACCUGAGCAAUAUGGUGCCAGCAAAUCCUAUUGAUUCUUAGUUUCUCGUACCUUCCCUGCAACACAGGGCAGAAAUCAGCAGAAAAGAUGAAAAGAACUCCCAAGGGAGCUUCUAGUUCUUCUCUUUUUCUUCAUCUACUCAUCUCAGCACCUUGAAGAAAUUAUAUUUAAGACCCUGGUGAAAGUUGGCCACGAAGCAUUCCGCUCAGACUUUCUUUCC